CCUAACCUAUGGACGGGAAUAACCUCGGGAAACUGAGAAUAAUGCCCGAUAGAACAUUAUGCCUGGAAUGGUUUAUGUUCCAAAUGAUUUAUCGCCGUAGGAUGGGACUGCGGCCUAUCAGUUUGUUGGUGAGGUAAUGGCCCACCAAGACUAUUACAGGUACGGGCUCUGAGAGGAGUAGCCCGGAGAUGGGUACUGAGACACGGACCCAGGCCCUAUGGGGCGCAGCAGGCGAGAAAACUUUGCAAUGUGCGAAAGCACGACAAGGUUAAUCCGAGUGGUUUCUGCUAAAGAAACCUUUUGUCAGUCCUAGAAACACUGAUGAAUAAGGGGUGGGCAAGUUCUGGUGU
rnacentral:rRNA from 1 species